AUGAACGCUGGCGGCGUGCCUAACCCCUGCAAGUCGAACGGAGUCGUUUUGGAAAUCUCUUCGGAGAUGGAAUUCUCGACUUAGUGGCGGACGGGUGAGUAACGCGUGAGCAAUCUGCCUUUAAGAGGGGGAUAACAGUCGGAAACGGCUGCUAAUACCGCAUAAAGCAUUAAAUUCGCAUGUUUUUGAUGCCAAAGGAGCAAUCCGCUUUUAGAUGAGCUCGCGUCUGAUUAGCUAGUUGGCGGGGUAACGGCCCACCAAGGCGACGAUCAGUAGCCGGACUGAGAGGUUGAACGGCCACAUGGGGACUGAGACACGGCCCAGACUCCUACGGGAGGCAGCAGUGGGGAAUAUUGCGCAAGGGGGGAAACCCUGACGCAGCAACGCCGCGUGAUUGAAGAAGGCCUUCGGGUUGUAAAGAUCUUUAAUCAGGGACGAAACAAAUGACGGUACCUGAAGAAUAAGCUCCGGCUAACUACGUG
rnacentral:rRNA from 1 species